UUUCCCCUACGGGGCGCAGCAGUGGGGAAUAUUGCGCAAUGGGGGCAACCCUGACGCAGCAACGCCGCGUGCAGGAAGAAGGUCUUCGGAUUGUAAACUGUUGUCGCAGGGGAAGAAGACAGUGACGGUACCCUGUGAGAAAGUCACGGCUAACUACGUGCCAGCAGCCGCGGUAAUACGUAGGGGACAAGCGUUGUCCGGAUUUACUGGGUGUAAAGGGCGCGUAGGCGGGAUAGCAAGUCAGUCGUGAAAUGCCGAGGCUUAACGUCGGUGCUGCG
rnacentral:rRNA from 1 species